GGGAAAGUGGCUCAGUGGUAGAGUGCUUGCCUUGCAUGCAUGAGGCCCUGGGUUUGAUUCCCCAGCACCA
rfam:Dipodomys ordii contig_68214, whole genome shotgun sequence.